GGCUGUGCGCCUCCGCCCGCGCUGCUGCAGAGCCCCAGCAGGUGCGCCCGCGCCGGGCGCUGCCCGUGGUGCUAAGCGCACGGCUCGGCUCGCUCACCGCGACCAGCCGGGUCACAGCCGAGCCCUGCGACACUGCGGGGACCCAGGGGCACCAGGUACUAGCAGCAUGGAGCUAAAGAGGGGAAAGACUUUCAUCAAAUCCAGCCUGCAGAUUUCCCAUGAGAAGUCCUCAGAUUCAGCAGCUGCUGCUCCAGGCAGGGAGGAUGCAGGCCCCUGGUCAGUCUCACUGGGAGGGCAGCAGAGGCUCCAUGGUGAGAAGGACUCCCAGGCCAGUACUAGUCCCCAAGGCCAUGACAGAUGCUCCAACAAGGGGGUUCACCCCAACCCUGAUGGGGGUUCCGUGGCCCUCUCUGAAGCCACCUUCAAACUGGUUCGGAAGAGCGAGACUCAUGACAGUGUUCCAGGAGCUAGCAGGAUAUUUACCACCACAGGGCAGCUGGCGGGCAGCACGAGCUUCCCAGGGCCUCCCAGUGCCCAACACAUGAUCGACUACCGCCACUUUGUGCCCCAGGUGCCCUUUGUGCCAGCUGUGGCCAAGAGCAUCCCAAGGAAGAGGAUUUCCCUGAAAAGACCCAAAAAGUGUUUCCGGAACCUAUUCCACAUCCGCAGAAACAAGACAGAGAAUUUGGCCACCCUGGCAGGCAAGAGGAAGAGCCUAUCCUCCCCUGGAGGACCAUCAGUUGCUGCAGGACAAGACAAAGCCUUCUUCUCCCUGGGGGAUGGCCUGCGGAAGGACAGCCUGGGCCAGGACCUGUCUGACAGUGAGCUCCUGCCCGACUCUCUUGACUUUUGCCAUGUCUUGUGUGAGGACGUGGCCUCCCUCAAGAGCUUCGACUCACUUACAGGCUGCGGAGAGAUCUUUGCAGAUGAGAGCUCAGCGCCAUCCCUAGAACUUAGUGACAGCCCCAAGAGCCCAGCCCGGGUGUCUCAGGCCCUGGAGAGCAAGGCUUCUAGGGACCCCUCUCAGGGCAGCGUGGAGCAGCUGGCAUCGCCCACCCAGAAUGAGGUUUCUGAUUUCACUAAAUUCUGGGACAGUGUGAAUCGCUCAGUGCGGCAGCAGCAAUGUGCCCUGCUGGGCCCAUGGCUGGCAGGCCCUCAGGGGACAGACACAGCCCAGCCCAGACCUGACACAGCUGGGCUGGCUGAGCUGCCCUUGUUCCCCUGCAGGGGCCCUCCCAGUGGCUCCAAGGCCAGCUCCAUAGACACAGGCACUCCCAAAAGUGAGCAACCAGAAUCUGUGUCCACAAGUGAUGAGGGCUACUAUGACUCCUUCUCACCAGGCCUGGAGGAGGACAAGAAGGAGCUCCCAAGCCCUAGCACACCUGCAGCUGCCUUUCCCAGGGACAGCUACAGUGGGGAUGCCCUUUAUGAGCUGUUCUAUGACUCCAGUGAGGGCCCUGUUGGCCUGACCCUGGAUGAUGACCUCUGUGUGUCUGAGAGUCUGUCAGGGCCGGCCCUGGGGACACCACUAUCCAUGUGCAGCUUCCAUGUGGGGGCUGAGGAGAACCUGGCCCCAGCACCAGGCCCUGAUCUGCUCAGCCAGAGCUUCCUACAGAGCUCCUGGAAGGGCAAGGAGUGCCUGCUGAAGCUCUGUGACACAGAACUGGCUAUCACCAUGGGCAUUGUCAACUGGCUCCGCCGUACCCCACCUGCCACCACCCCUGUCCCUGGGGAGCCUAAAGAUCCAUUUGGCCCUCAAAGAGGCCCCUGGGGACAAGAGGAGAAACUAGAGGGCAAGAGUGGCCAGGUCCCAGUUGCACAGACUACAGUGUGCUCGGCACCCAGCAGGAAGGAGCUGCGGGCACAGCUGGGCACCCCAGGCCUGCUUGCUGGAGAGAGUGAGGUCCCAGAGAGGACUGCAAAGGGGACCAUGACCUCAUCCCAGGGUUCCCCACUGGAGGAAGGGACACGAGGCCACUCUGUGGGCUCACUCUCCUCUGUGGAGUCUGCAGCCACUGCAGCAACAGAUACUUCUAGGAAAAGCAAGGCUCCAAGCCCACUUGCCUGGCCCAAUUCACAGAAGGGAAUGGGGCCACCUAGAGACCUGAGGCAUUGCCAAGGGCCCUGGAAGCCCGGUUAUGGGGGGAGGACUCUAGAGGCAGGGCCUGCACUGGCAGGCUGUUUGGCCCAUGUGGCAGCCCUGCAGAUCCACUCGGAUGGCCCACCUCCAAGGCAGAACACAGGUAGUGGGCUCUUUAGGAAGCCUCAGGCUUGGAUCCCUGACUUUCUGCAGCAGAAACAGACUAGCAGCUCCCCUAGUGGGGUCACUGUCUGUUGCCUGCCCUCCUUGGCCAGAUCACAAGACCAGAAGCAUCCGGACCUCAUCUUAAACCUGAGCCAACUCAGGUUGGACCCCACCAGGCUUGGUGCCCAGGCCUAUGCCUCCAUGGAGGACCUGAACAUGCAGCUCAGCCCCAAGGCUGCAGAGCAGGCAGCACACAGGGGUUGUCUGGACUGUGGGCCUCCCUCAGCCCCUGGUGCCCAGCGGAGCCCCCAAAGCUACUCUCCAGAAAUCCUGAGCCUCACUCUGGAUGGCCAGCGGUAGAGGGUUCCUCUACAAGUGUCCCAAAAUGCUGCUGCAGAUUCCUGGCCUGGCUAGCUGGAAUUGGAGGCCCCAGGCCAGACAUGGCCAAGCCUAACCCAUAGGACAGGAUCACUCUCACCAUAAACUGCAUCUUUAUGACCAUAUUCAGGAGAUCCUAGGACCCAAAUCUUCCUGUUUUUCUCUUGAUAUAAGGACUGUGUGGGGUGAAAUGGGGGCAGGACUCAGGCAAGCAGAAGGUGGGACAUUUCCACAUGGAGGCACCCUCAGCUGAACUCAAGGCCAAGGACAGCACAGAGCUGUAAACACCUCACUGUUCCUCAUGCAGCAUGCCAGAGAGGAGCUCAGGUCUGAGAUGGAUGGAAAGGAAAUGGUCCACAUUGUAAAUGAGAGGGUGAGAGAGUUGAUUUGUUGGCUUGGAUUGUGUGAGAAGGGUGAAGUACAAGGCUCAGGGUAGGAGACAGAUGGGAUGAGUUCAAGAGGGCCUGCUGGCCUGCCCCAUGAACUCUCUUCCCAGUCCCUGGGAACACAAUACAAAACCAGCCCCAUCUCAACAGAAGCCUCAAACCAGCCAGCAUCAUGCAUUACUCUUCAACCCUGCCAGGGCUGGCCAGACCCUGCCAACUUCUGUUGAUGGGUUUUGUGGAAUUCUCUGUCACAAAUCAUCCUGUGCAAGCAAUGAUUUUCCUCCACUUGCAUUCUCUAAUUGAAGCCAUGGAUGGAAGAACAGUCUUUGAGAAGAACCCCAUUAAUUCUUCCCACUCUGCCAUUCUGCCUUCAAGUGACAAAAGUGACUCCACCUCCUCCACACUACCUAGAAACCAAGAUGUGGAUGGCCCAUGGCCAGUGUGUGUGGUUGGCAAGGUUUGAAUCUCACCUUCAGCUUCAAAGCUCCUGGUCUUCAGCAGGCUCUGGAACUUCUCCCCGAGUUCUCAUAGCAAAUGCUUCCCUUGGAUCCUUCUUCCUGUUUUUUCUUCCAGACUGAAGAUCUGAGCCCCCUAGGGUGCUAGCUGCAUGUCUUUUUGUGAGCAGGCUGAGAGCCUAGGGGGAGUUCACUCGCCCUUAGUCAUGGACCUGUGGCUUUGUACUAUACCUGACAGAGUAAGUACUCAGUAAAUACUUAUUGAAACAAUGAAGUGUUGAAGAAUGGUUUUCUGAUUUCUUCUUGACUAUAAGCCUUGUGCCUGGAGAAAAACAAUAGAGAUUUAAAUCCAACUCCGCUUGACAACUAAAUGCCUCUCCCACAGCAGGGGACAGUGUCCUUAGCAUGCCUUCACGGCAGUGGGGUAGAACCCAUCCAGGCCCAAGACCAAAAGGACAGGAACUGAGGUGGCACAGGCUGGACAGGAAGCCUGGGGUCAGGAGAUGCUGGUGGGUGCCCAGCACCCAGGGCCAUGACAAGGUGUGAUCUGCAGUGCCCUAGCAGCCGGACAAUGGAAACACAGAACCGGGGCCAUGCCAACAGGAGAGGAAUUGCAGGCCAGGUGGCCUAGGGAACCUAGGGGACACUUUAAACAAACCCCAAACCCCAGAUAUUCCUCUUCUCUGGGUGAGGGUCCUAGGCAGCUCUCUAGGCAAAUGGAGGAGGGUGGUAUGAUCUUCCUCAGGUGAUUUCUCUCUCCACAGCCCGCUACUCAGGCUCCCCUCCCCAGUGAGAGGGCCCCAGCCAGUGCCAGUCUAGCCAGGCUCCAGAGGCCUCAAGGUGGCACACUGAGAAGAAAGAGAGGACUUCUGGUCCAGCUGAGGAUUUUAGUCCAGCUCUAAGAGCAGAAGAGGCCUCAUCUGGAAUUUUGGAAAUGCUGGUUACUUCUAACCAUCUUGGAAACAUAAGCUUCUCCAUGUGAACUAAAGCCCUGAGAAGUAGGUCCAACUGUCCCAUGGAGCCCCAGGGUCUCAUGCAGGGUGCCACAGUGGCAGUGGUGAGGGUGGCAGAGUAGCCCAGGGCCAAAGAGCUGCGAAGCUGGAUAUACUAGGGAGGCCAGGAGCACCAGUGAGUGAGAGGCAGGGUCGCCCUGAGACUAGGCUGGAGAGAUGGGGUAGGGGGGAGCUGGCAAGAAGGCAAAAGCCUUGAAAGGGAGAAAGACCUUGGGCCAGGAUGGGCUGAGAAGAACCUGCAGACUGUCAUGAAAGGCUUCUCAUCUUUCCUGGCUUCCUAUUUCAUUUUAUUUUCUGUAAUGGCAAUAAAUUCAUGGGAUAAAAAGUUAAAAGCCCCAGGAAAAAAAAUGGUGAAAAUCAAAUUUCCAUUCUUCCUCCUUCACCCCUCUGUUGUUACAAAAUUUAUUCACACUUACUACAACCAAUCCAAACAGCAUGAAACAGCAUCUCCUUCUUCUCCUCCUCACACUUGGAUCUGGAUUCUCACACCCUUUCUAGGUCCUUUCAGUCCUUUUUUCCUGCCAAAUUUUCCUUCUCAUAUUAGCCACCCCCUUCCUCUGAACAAGAGACAAAAUCCAGUAGGUAGUAAUUAAUCUAAAUAGACUCCAGUUAUUGGAUAUUCAAGUUCUUCCUAUUUCUGUUGUUACAAACAGUGCUGUACUCCUUUAUUCUCCUAAAUGUUUUCUAUUAAAGUCCUCUUUAAAAUUGUGAAAACAAAACUUACCUUAACAAUUAAAAGAUGUAUUUUUAA